CGUACAGGUCUCCGUAGGUGAACCUGCGGAGGGAUUAUUACACAAAUAUGAAGGCGGGCUGGAACCUCUCGGGGUUACAGCCUUGCUGAAUUAUUCCCCCUUGUCUUUUGCGUACUUCUUGUUUCCUUGGUGGGUUCGCCCACCACUAGGACAAACAUAAACCUUUUGUAAUUGCAAUCAGCGUCAGUAACAAAUUAAUAAUUACAACUUUCAACAACGGAUCUCUUGGUUCUGGCAUCGAUGAAGAACGCAGCGAAAUGCGAUAAGUAGUGUGUAUUGCAGAAUUCAGUGAAUCAUCGAAUCUUUGAACGCACAUUGCGCCCUUUGGUAUUCCAAAGGGCAUGCCUGUUCGAGCGUCAUUUGUACCCUCAAGCUUUGCUUGGUGUUGGGCGUCUUGUCUCUAGCUUUGCUGGAGACUCGCCUUAAAGUAAUUGGCAGCCGGCCUACUGGUUUCGGAGCGCAGCACAAGUCGCACUCUCUAUCAGCAAAGGUCUAGCAUCCAUUAAGCCUUUUUUUCAACUUUUGACCUCGGAUCAGGUAGGGAUACCCGCUGAACUUAAGCAUAUC
rnacentral:rRNA from 1 species